rnacentral:rRNA from 1 species
AGAGUUUGAUCCUGGCUCAGGAUGAACGCUGGCGGCGUGCUUAACACAUGCAAGUCGAACGAACGGAGGAGAGCUUGCUCUCCAAAGUUAGUGGCGGACGGGUGAGUAACGCGUGGGUAACCUGCCCUAUGCAGGGGGAUAACGUUUGGAAACGAACGCUAAUACCGCAUAAACUAUGGAUGUUCGCAUGAACAUUAUAGCAAAGAUUUUAUCGGCAUAGGAUGGACCCGCGUUGGAUUAGCUAGUUGGUGAGAUAACAGCCCACCAAGGCGACGAUCCAUAGCCGGCCUGAGAGGGUGAACGGCCACAUUGGGACUGAGACACGGCCCAAACUCCUACGGGAGGCAGCAGUGGGGAAUAUUGCACAAUGGGCGCAAGCCUGAUGCAGCGACGCCGCGUGAAGGAUGAAGGUCUUCGGAUUGUAAACUUCUAUCAGCAGGGAAGAAUAAAUGACGGUACCUGACUAAGAAGCUCCGGCUAACUACGUGCCAGCAGCCGCGGUAAUACGUAGGGAGCGAGCGUUAUCCGGAUUUACUGGGUGUAAAGGGUGCGUAGGCGGUUUGGUAAGUCAGAAGUGAAAUUUUGGGGCUCAACCCCAGAGCUGCUUCUGAAACUGCUGAACUAGAGUGUGGGAGAGGAAAGUGGAAUUCCGAGUGUAGCGGUGAAAUGCGUAGAGAUUCGGAGGAACACCAGUAGCGAAGGCGGCUUUCUGGACCAUAACUGACGCUGAGGCACGAAAGCGUGGGGAGCAAACAGGAUUAGAUACCCUGGUGGUCCACGCCGUAAACGAUGAAUGCUAGGUGUCGGGUCCUACGGGAUUCGGUGCCGAAGUUAACACAUUAAGCAUUCCACCUGGGAAGUACGAUCGCAAGAUUGAAACUCAAAGGAAUUGACGG